CGCGAGUCCACACCAUUGAAUUAUAUCUUUAUUUAUACUCAAUUUUCUAUCAAGUUCAAUAACCCCAUUACAAUUAUUUGAAUUAAAACUCAUACUUUAUUGGUUUAAGCAAAUCUUGGUUUUUGAUUGAGGUUAAAGAGAUUGUUGAAUCAGUUUAAUCUGUUAAAGACAACCAACAUGGCUACACCGACAAGAAUUGGUCUUGCUGGGCUUGCUGUUAUGGGACAAAAUCUUGCUCUCAAUAUUGCUGAGAAAGGAUUUCCUAUAUCUGUUUACAACAGAUCCACUUCAAAAGUUGACGAGACUGUUGAACGAGCUAAGAAGGAAGGCAAUCUUCCUCUUUAUGGCUUUCAUGAUCCAGAGUCCUUUGUACUCUCUAUCCAAAAGCCCCGUGUCAUAAUCAUUCUUGUCAAGGCUGGUUUACCAGUUGAUCAGACCAUCAAAACUCUUUCAGCUUUCAUGGAGAAAGGAGACUGUAUCAUUGAUGGUGGCAAUGAAUGGUAUGAAAACACUGAGAGGAGAGAAAAGGAAAUGGCUGAGCUUGGUCUUCUUUAUCUCGGAAUGGGAGUAUCAGGUGGUGAAGAGGGUGCUCGCAAUGGACCCUCAAUGAUGCCUGGAGGUUCUUUUGAAGCCUACA
rnacentral:misc_RNA from 1 species